rnacentral:lncRNA from 1 species
GGAGACUCCACUGUGAAUUAAUCUCCUCAUUUUCAUUGUCGUCAGUAUCAUAAGAGCUGAUUUCACAUUUCCAACCUCGAGAGAGACAGGUGUGCACACAUAUGUGCUCUGAGGCUGAAAACUACACAUAGGUGUGUUCCUUCAGUCAGCCAAGCACACGCAUCACUUGUUAAUCACAUGUCAGGUUGCAGUGCCGGCUCCUGAAUGUUUCUUGUACUGGGGGACCCUAGCUAGGCGCCCCUGGUGGGUGACGGUCGCCAUCUGCCUGUCUGCUGCUCUCCUGAUGUACUCUGCACAUCACUGACUCGCGAGCCACACAGCUGUCCACAGCACCAUGACACAGCAGAGCUGCUAGUUUUCAUCAUACAAAUGAGAAAAACGAGGCCCAGAGAUGUGGAGUGACCCCGAGUCGGAAGCUGAUCCACUGUGUUUCUGCCUCCCCCUGACUAACGACAGCAGACGUGUGGUACCUGUACUUUCCGUGUGAACCUCCGACUUGUUCUUCCUCCCAUGAUCCCAGAAGGGCAAAGGAAGUGAGUUGGGAGAAGCCCCAGUCAAGGGAUUCAGCACUGAUGGAAUUCUCUACCCUCCAGGAAGAUGGUCUUGUUUUGUGUGUUCUUGGAUUUAUUUCUCAAAAGAAGUCACUUGCUCCCCGGCCUCCCUGUGUCAGAUGACCUCGUUCCUCUUCUCUCAGCUCCCAACAGCCUUUACAGUUGCUUGCUGUUUGCUCGAGGUGGAGGAAACAGGCAACAGGGAGUGGAUGGGGCCAGGGGAAUGGGCUGGAACCUGGACCUGGCUGAUCUGCUCCUCAUACCCAUCCCAUCUCCGGGCCCCUGAGCCUCAGGCCCCAGUGGCUUCUGUCCUGAAGCCCUCACCUUGGCUUUUAGGUAGGUGACUUCCCAGGGGCCUCCCUGUCUCCUCCACACCUAGGUGUCUUCAGAACCCAGACCCUAGAAUUAUCACCCCCCCAUUGAGGUGAGUCUCCUCCUUCAGGGAGGGUCUCCUACUGAUGGAAGAACUAGGGGGAGCAAGAACCAAGAAAACUGUACACAGAAGCGCAAAAUCAAAGCACUUAAGCGCUGUUCGUUCGCAUCCCUCUGAAGAAGCCAGCCAUAUCUUGUUUUGUUUGUUUUGUUUUUGCUUUAGAGAUUGAACCUAGGAUGCUUAACCACUGAGCAACAUCCCCAGCCCCUUCUUUAUUUUUUAUCUUGAGACCAUGUCUCGCUGAGUUACUUAAGGCCUCACUAAGUUUCCAAGAUUGGCUUUGAAACUUGCAAUCCUCCUGCCUCCGCCUCCAGAGCCGCUGGGAUGACAGGCCUGCGCCACCCUGCCCGACUGCCACAGUGGUUCUGAUUCUUCACUCAUAGUGCUCAGCUG